rnacentral:tRNA from 1 species
AGUUAAUUAAGCUUUAGAAAGCAUAUACCUUGAAAGUAUAAGAUGAUGGUUCAAUUCCAUCAUUAACUU